AGAGUUAAAAAGUACGUGAAAUUGUUGAAAGGGAAACGAUUGAAGUCAGUCGUACCGGCGGAAAAUCAACUACUUGAGUGAGUACUUGUGAGCGUAUGUGAGCUUCACGGCCGCAUUGUUUGCAAUGUUCGUGUUCUUGUGGUGUACUUUUUCGUAUGGUAGGUUAACAUCGGUUUCGGAUAUCAUAAAAUGAUCGGAGGAAUGUAGCUUCGACUUCGGUUGAAGUGUUAUAGCCUUUGGUAGAUGUGAUAUCUGGGACCGAGGAUUGCAACGAAUACCCUUUGGGCUAUCCGUCUGGCCUCUGAAAGUCGCCUGGGUGCCGAAAGCUUGCUUAUGGUAUCUAAGUUUGACGUUCAAUAGGCUAGAACGUGAUUACAUUCGUUAAGGAUGUUGACGUAAUGGCUUUAAACGACC
rnacentral:rRNA from 1 species